ensembl:lncRNA
GUACAGAGUCAAUGUGGAGACUAUAUACAGGGGGCACCGAUACAGAGUUCAUUUGGAGACUAUAAACAGGGGGUACCGAUACAGAGUUAAUGUGGAGACUAUAUACAGGGGGUAAAGGUAUAAAGUCAAUGUGGAGACUAUAUACAGGGGGUACCGAUACAGAGUCAAUGUGGAGACUACAUACAGGGGGUACCGAUACAGAGUUAAUGUGGAGACUAUAUACAGGGGGUACUGGUACAGAGUCAAUGUGGAGACUAUAUACAGGGGGUACUGGUACAUAGUUAAUGUGGAGACUAUAUACAGGGGGUACCAGUACAUAGUCAAUGUGGAGACUAUAUACAGGGGGUACUGGUACAUAGUCAAUGUGGAGACUAUAUACAGGGGGUACCGGUACAGAGUUAAUGUGGAGACUAUAUACAGGGGGGUACGGUACAGAGUCAAUGUGGAGGCUAUAUACAGGGGUACCGGUACAGAGUCAAUGUGGAGACUAUAUACAGGGGGUACUGGUACAUAGUCAAUGUGGAGACUAUAUACAGGGGGUACUGGUACAUAGUCAAUGUGGAGACUAUAUACAGGGGGUUCCGGUACAUAGUCAAUGUGGAGACUAUAUACAGGGGGUACCGGUACAGAGUUAAUGUGGAGACUAUAUACAGGGGGUACCGGUACAGAGUCAAUGUGGAGGCUAUAUACAGGGGGGUACUGAUACAGAGUUAAUGUGGAGACUAUAUACAGGGGGGUACCGGUACAGAGUCAAUGUGGAGGCUAUAUACAGGGGGUUCUGGUACAGAGUCAAUGCGGAGACUAUACUCAGGGGGUACCACUACAGACUCAAUGUGGAG